rnacentral:rRNA from 1 species
GAUGAACGCUAGCGGCAGGCUUAACACAUGCAAGUCGAGGGGUAGAGGAAGCUUGCUUCCUUGAGACCGGCGCACGGGUGCGUAACGCGUAUGCAACCUACCUUUUACAGAGGGAUAGCCCAGAGAAAUUUGGAUUAAUACCUCAUGGUAUAUAUCAUUCGCAUGUUUGAUAUAUUAAAGUUCCAACGGUAAAAGAUGGGCAUGCGUCCUAUUAGCUAGAUGGUAAGGUAACGGCUUACCAUGGCAACGAUAGGUAGGGGUCCUGAGAGGGAGACCCCCCACACUGGUACUGAGACACGGACCAGACUCCUACGGGAGGAAGCAGUGAGGAAUAUUGGACAAUGGGCGCAAGCCUGAUCCAGCCAUGCCGCGUGCAGGAAGAAGCAUCUAUGGUGUGUAAACUGCUUUUGUACGGGAAGAAACACUCCUUCGUGAAGGAGCUUGACGGUACCGUAAGAAUAAGGAUCGGCUAACUCCGUGCCAGCAGCCGCCGUAACAC